GAUGAACGCUGGCGGCGUGCCUAAUACAUGCAAGUCGAGCGAACGGACGAGAAGCUUGCUUUUCUGAUGUUAGCGGCGGACGGGUGAGUAACACGUGGAUAACCUACCUAUAAGACUGGGAUAACUUCGGGAAACCGGAGCUAAUACCGGAUAAUAUUUUGAACCGCAUGGUUCAAAAGUGAAAGACGGUCUUGCUGUCACUUAUAGAUGGAUCCGCGCUGCAUUAGCUAGUUGGUAAGGUAACGGCUUACCAAGGCAACGAUGCAUAGCCGACCUGAGAGGGUGAUCGGCCACACUGGAACUGAGACACGGUCCAGACUCCUACGGGAGGCAGCAGUAGGGAAUCUUCCGCAGUGGGCGAAAGCCUGACGGAGCAACGCCGCGUGAGUGAUGAAGGUCUUCGGAUCGUAAAACUCUGUUAUUAAGGAAGAACAUAUGUGUAAGUAACUGUGCACAUCUUGACGGUACCUAAUCAGAAAGCCACGGCUAACUACGUG
rnacentral:rRNA from 1 species